CAUUCCAUUCUCAUUGUCACCAAGGGAGGGGUUAAGAGAACCAGAGUGCCUCCUCCCAACAACAGCAGUGGGCCAGGACCGGUAAUCCUUUGAAGGUUAAGCAUAUCUCCUUCAAAACAGGUGACGAGCUCAUCUUCUUGGACCCUCAUACAACCCAGACCUUUGUUGACACUGAAGAGAAUGGAACGGUUAAUGACCAGACUUUCCAUUGCCUGCAGUCCCCACAGCGAAUGAACAUCCUAAACCUGGAUCCUUCAGUUGCAUUGGGAUUUUUCUGCAAAGAAGAAAAAGACUUUGAUAACUGGUGUAGCCUUGUUCAGAAGGUAAAGCUAUAUGUUUUUCUUAGUCUGAAAAAUGAAGUUACCCAAUUUUAUUCCUUUUCAAGAUUGUUUUUCAUAGUAAAAAAAAAUCCUACUCUGAUACGACUUUACUGCAAGAGAAAGAAACUAAGGCAACAAAGAAACUAUCAGGAAAUUCUAAAGGAGAAUUUAAGGAUGUUUGA
rnacentral:lncRNA from 1 species